rnacentral:pre_miRNA from 1 species
UGCCCAUUCAUUCAUGGGCUGGGAUUUGUUGCAAUACUUGUGUUAUAUUAAAAGUAUUGCACUUGUCCCGGCCUGUGAAAGAAAG